UAGGGAAUCUUCGGCAAUGGACGAAGGUCUGACCGAGCAACGCCGCGUGAGUGAAGAAGGUUUUCGGAUCGUAAAACUCUGUUGGUAGAGAAGAACGUUGGUGAGAGUGGAAAGCUCAUCAAGUGACGGUAACUACCCAGAAAGGGACGGCUAACUACGUACCAG
rnacentral:rRNA from 1 species